CUGUACGCUGGUUAUAGUUGUGGUAGGAUUCAGCCCAUUCUUUUAUAAAGUUUAACCAAGUUCCUAACGUAAACAUGUAAAUAUAAAGAUACAAAUUUAAGUCUAUAAAUAUCUAAAAAUCAAACAAAUGAUGAUAUUAUUAUUUUACUAAAAAAACCUAAAUGAAAUUCCAUUCAUUUCCCAAAAACUUGUUUCUUCCAUUCCCGAAGCCGCUUUUUCUUUCCAUACUUCUUUUUAUCUCUAGCAAUCUCUUCCGGAGUACGAUAUGGAGUCAUCUUUUUUAGACCUACAUAAUUAUUAAGGUCGGCAUCUGAUGCGUUAAGAAUAUCAAGUAUAUCAAGUCCAAAUGUCUCUGGGGCGACCUGUUGGUAGCGAAAUUUAGAGUUUUUAACAAUCACCGCCUCAGGAACACCGUAUUUUUCUUCGACGUACUCAUCAAUUUUUCGUUUUUUCUCCCUGAUAUCUUUACGUAAGGAUUUUUUUGAUUUUUCACGAUUUCCAGUAUCUUCAACAGUUUUAUUUUCUAUGCUGCCCAGAUCUUCGGAUCCAUUAUCCACUUGAGCGAUGUCAUCGAUGUCUAUAUCAUCGCCAAAUUCGGGCUUUUUAGCAGAAUCUUCUUCGUAGUAAUUUUCGUUAAAAAUUUCUGACAUUUUGGAUUCCCAUUUUUCCGGAUCAAAGUCUUCAUCUAAAUCAAGUUUUGAAACAUCGAUAUUUUUGGAACCAGCAAUUUCAAUAACCUGAUUAAGUUUCUCCUCUAACUCUUUCCGUUUAAGAUUUUUGAGUCUGUUGACUUCCUCUAGUCGCUUUUGAGAUGCUUCUUCAAGUCUUUCUUUUUUGCGAUCACGUGCACGUUUACGAGAAUCAUCCUUCCUUCGUAAACUGUCAGCAACAUUUCGAGGGUGAGAAACUAUUUGGCUGCCAGCCUCUUCUUCAAAGCGGAAGUUAAAUUUGUUUUCAAAUUCCUCAGCAUCUUCGUCAAAUCUGUUCUCGGCAUCAACCUCAUCAAUAAUUUCUUCAUAGGAAGGUUGUUUGGUGUUGGAAGUUCGCCAUCCACGAUUCAUCAUAUAUUUCAAUAAAAAAUCUUCAUCUGACGGCUUAAUUCCAUUUUCAUCAUCUUCAGUAUUAACAAGAACAGAUGGACGCUGUUUGACAUACGAGGAUGAUAAAUCUUCUAAAACUUUUCUAGCUUCCUUACUCUGUGCACUUUCCAACAAAAACCUUUCAUAGCCAUGCUCUUCUUCUUCAAGUUGUUUUUUCGUUUUCUCUUUCUUUACUAAAAAAUCACCAUCUUCGUCAGAUUCAUUGCUCACUGCAUCCUUAUUCCCGUUGACAUCAUGAAACGCUGCUAUUGUUUCUUUUCUUAAACGUUCUUGCUCCUCGACGUGAGUGGGAUUAGCAUCGUUUGGCAUUGGUUCAUCUUCCUCCGCAUCUAAAAUUUCGCCCGAUAACAAUUUUUGACGAUGGUAGUCUUUUAGUGUGACGGAGCGAAACCCGUCCUUACUUUUUAAUGAUCCUUGCACAUCCUUUUCGACUUCAUCAAAAUACUUCUGUUGAGAAUCAUAUAGAUCAGGAUCCUUGUUCCGAAUUUUGACAAUCAUUCGUAAAAUAGCAGCAUCCACUUCAGGAGUGACAAGUUCUCCAUCCGAAUCUUCUUCCUCUUCACUGGAACUCUCAUCGCUGCCUUCACCAUCCACUCCAUUAGCCAUCUGUUCCCCGUAUUUUGCUUCUACUAAUUUUAGUUAGUAUACCUGAUUCACGUUUUCUUUUCAAUUGAAAUUUCAUAAGCAAUAGAAUAAUCGCCAAAGAUUUGCUUUUCAACUGAUUGCAAGAAAGCCAUUACAAAAAAAUUUACUUACACUUUUGAAGCUCCUCACGCUUUUUAUUGUGUUCAAAUCGCUUUGCAUAUUCUUCGUUAAUUUGAAAAGAAUUAAUUUCCUCAUCUUCAGAGCUGCUUUCCUCUAAUAAGUGACUUUUGCUAGUAACGUUUUCUUGAAGUUGAUCAAUUGACUUUUUAUCAGUUGGUACGUUGGAAUUGAUAACCUUUUUUUGAACCAAAGCUUCACGUGCUUUCUUAGCUGCUGAUUUUUUUCUGGGCAUCUUGUGAAUGGUAAUGGAAAAAGUUUGGUGGGGUAUUUUAACAACAAGUAGUGAAAAAAGUUGGCAGUGUUGCUGUAAAAGUUACCACCAAAAACUAAAUUUGCAAAUGGUGGUGAGUUUUUAACUUCAAUUAAUAAUAUAAAAAAUGAGAAUUCGAAGAACAAGAAGAAUAAAAAACUAAAUUGAAUAAGUUGCAACUAGUAGACUAACAUAUCGGAACAUUAUAAGUAGUAUUAAUUUUGAAAAAUACACAAUGAAAUUGAUUACUACCAUUUCA